GACGAACGCCGGCGGCGUGCCUAAUACAUGCAAGUUGAGCGCUGAAGGUUGGUACUUGUACCAACUGGAUGAGCAGCGAACGGGUGAGUAACGCGUGGGGAACCUGCCUUUGAGCGGGGGACAACAUUUGGAAACGAAUGCUAAUACCGCAUAAAAACUUUAAACGCAAGUUUUAAGUUUGAAAGAUGCAAUUGCAUCACUCAAAGAUGAUCCCGCGUUGUAUUAGCUAGUUGGUGAGGUAAAGGCUCACCAAGGCGAUGAUACAUAGCCGACCUGAGAGGGUGAUCGGCCACAUUGGGACUGAGACACGGCCCAAACUCCUACGGGAGGCAGCAGUAGGGAAUCUUCGGCAAUGGACGAAAGUCUGACCGAGCAACGCCGCGUGAGUGAAGAAGGUUUUCGGAUCGUAAAACUCUGUUGGCAGAGAAGAACGUUGGUGAGAGUGGAAAGCUCAUCAAGUGACGGUAACUACCCAGAAAGGGACGGCUAACUACGUG
rnacentral:rRNA from 1 species